AGAGCGAACGCUGGCGGCAGGCUUAACACAUGCAAGUCGAGCGCUCCGCAAGGGGAGCGGCAGACGGGAGAGUAACACGUGGGAACGUACCCUUCAGUUCGGAACAACCCAGGGAAACUUGGGCUAAUACCGAAUACGUCCGUAAGGAGAAAGAUUUAUCGCUGAAGGAUCGGCCCGCGUCUGAUUAGCUUGUUGGUGAGGUAAUGGCUCACCAAGGCGACGAUCGAUAGCUGGUCUGAGAGGAUGAUCAGCCACAUUGGGACUGAGACACGGCCCAAACUCCUACGGGAGGCAGCAGUGGGGAAUAUUGGACAAUGGGCGCAAGCCUGAUCCAGCCAUGCCGCGUGAGUGAUGAAGGCCUUAGGGUUGUAAAGCUCUUUCGCUAGGGACGAUAAUGACGGUACCUAGACAAGAAGCCCGGCUAACUUCGUGCCAGCAGCCGC
rnacentral:rRNA from 1 species